rnacentral:rRNA from 1 species
CGCUGGCGGCAGGCCUAACACAUGCAAGUCGAACGGUAACAGGAAGCAGCUUGCUGCUUCGCUGACGAGUGGCGGACGGGUGAGUAAUGUCUGGGAAACUGCCUGAUGGAGGGGGAUAACUACUGGAAACGGUAGCUAAUACCGCAUAACGUCGCAAGACCAAAGAGGGGGACCUUCGGGCCUCUUGCCAUCAGAUGUGCCCAGAUGGGAUUAGCUUGUUGGUGGGGUAACGGCUCACCAAGGCGACGAUCCCUAGCUGGUCUGAGAGGAUGACCAGCCACACUGGAACUGAGACACGGUCCAGACUCCUACGGGAGGCAGCAGUGGGGAAUAUUGCACAAUGGGCGCAAGCCUGAUGCAGCCAUGCCGCGUGUAUGAAGAAGGCCUUCGGGUUGUAAAGUACUUUCAGCGGGGAGGAAGGUGCUGUGGUUAAUAACCACAGCAAUUGACGUUACCCGCAGAAGAAGCACCGGCUAACUCCGUGCCAGCAGCCGCGGUAAUACGGAGGGUGCAAGCGUUAAUCGGAAUUACUGGGCGUAAAGCGCACGCAGGCGGUCUGUUAAGUCAGAUGUGAAAUCCCCGGGCUCAACCUGGGAACUGCAUCUGAUACUGGCAGGCUUGAGUCUCGUAGAGGGGGGGAGAAUUCCAGGUGUAGCGGUGAAAUGCGUAGAGAUCUGGAGGAAUACCGGGUGGCGAAGGCGGCCCCCUGGGCCAAGACUGACACUCAGGUGCGAAAGCGUGGGGGAGCAAACAAGAUUAAAAUACACAGGUAAUCCACCCCCUACACCACGCCAACCUUCAAGUUGUGCCCUUUGAUGGUGGGUUCCUGUGCUGACG